ACAAUUUAGUAUGUCUGAGAGUCUUGGGAGAUCUAUGCAAUGUAUUCAAUGCUGUAGGAUAGGCCACCUAAACAGAUUCUACUUUUCUAAUUAAGUCAAACGUGUGCAAGGGUUAACAGGGGCAGUGCUACAUGUGGAUUUGAGCCUGCCGCGAAUAUAGCAAAUAUUGAUUUUGAUGAUGUUGGUAACAUCAUAGGCCACUCUUUUACAAUGAGAAAUAAUACAGAACCAGAUCAUAGAAAUGAUAAGUGAUUUGAGCGAGAUUGUUGUUUUGACUUGUAGUGUGGGCUUAUCUCACAGCAGUAUUAGGGUUAAGAUAUCUGGAAAGACUUACAGUGCCCUAUGUGACAAGCCUAAAGGCUAAAAUUGAUAUUAGCCAUAAUAGCUUGACUUUGUGGGAUGGACUUACAGAGACAAAGUUCAUUGCCUAUUCAGAUUAUUCCAACUUUGUUAUAUGUAUAUGUGAUGAGGUACUACCACCACACACUGAAACUUUGUUGCCGGUGUAUAUUAAUGACCCAGACAUAAAGUCAGGCGUCGUCAAUCCAAUUGAGUCUAUUGUAGAAUAGUUACACAUGUUGGGUGCUAGAUGUCUCACUUCAUCUGCCAAUCAAGUACCAUUGUUUAGGUUGAUGAACCCUGCUAGUUCAGAGAUUAAGUUAGCAAUAGGUGUCAUUGAAGAAGUCGAUAUUGCCAAUGUGUAUGGAGAGUUAGGAGACAGUGACACCACACACACCACGCCUAUCACCACAGGUGACAAAGCAUUCAACCAUGUUGAUAUUGACGGGACUCAUUGAUUGACGGGAAUAUGGAUAUCCAAAUAUGAAAUGGGAGUUGAUAAGUCGUAGAGGAAUGCGAUACCAAGUCCGGGUGUCUCGAAAAGCGAAGGGGUCCUAAGUGAGUUUCUCAAUUCAGAAAUUGUGGAGAAUUUCCAUGUCAGAAGAACAAUGACAGGGAAAGUGAAGAAAGAAAACAACAAAAAGUAAACAAUAGAACUGCACGUAAGGAAGUGUGAAAAUCAUAAAGGUAUAUGAUAUACGGAGGAUAUGUAGAUCCAAGGUUAUAAUAACAAGUUGGUUUUAGUCCCAAGUUAUAGUGUCAUGUGUCAAAGCAAAUGGGUACCCAGAUAGGAAAUCAAGAAAUGAUUGUAAGUCGUAGAGGUAACAUGCCUACGCAGAUAUGAGAUGAUGAACAACGUCGUAGAGGUAACAUGCCUACAUAGAUAUGAAAUGAUAGUAAGUCGUAGAGGUCACAUGCCUACGCUGUCAAGCCGUGGAGGAGACAUGCCCACGUAGUAAUAAUGUCGACAAGGACGUAGAGGAGACAUGCCUACGUUAUUUGAAUAUAAACACAUAGAUGAGGAAAUGCCUAUGCUGUUUCAAAGCUUGAAAGAUCAAGUCUAGAGAUGCCUGACAGUCUCUAGUGGUGAGGUAGAUAUGUUUCUACCUCAAGUUGCUGAGUAUGUUGAGGACAGUCGAAAGACUAACGAUGAAUUCACUCGGGACGAAGGACAGAGGGUCGAUUUGUCUCGUAGCCUGGGUGAAGACCUAUAAAUCGGUCGGGGGAUGUAGAUGAUUGGCCAAUCAUAUUUGUACAGAAGAGUUUUGCCUAGUCAGAAGGCUGUUGUAUACCUCCUGUUGAGGAGAGGAAAUGUUUGAAGAGAGUACAGACGGAAUAUUAAAGAGGUUGGUUUUUUUUUCAUGAGUUAUGAUGCUGACACAGAUAAAGACACAACGAUAGGAGUGAAAAGGGACAUACGGUUAUAUAUUACUGGGAUUGAAGAUGUAACAAAUCAGAAGUUGUUUAAAAACAAGGCCUUUUAACUUAAAAAUAUUCAACUGACCCACAAGUACAGCAUAUUAUUCACACAUGAACUGGAACUGUAUGAACAUAAGCGCUGUGUUCUGCGGUUUACUUAAUGUUGGUAGACAUUAUUUAUGAGAGAGUAAUAUGUUGUAUGGUACAUUGGUGACGAUCAAUUGGGAUUGUUGUUUAUUGUUUUUCACUUAGGGAAGAUAUGGCUUCAUAGGGAUAACAGAGUAGGAACUGAGAUCAGAUUUAAAAUCUGAGAGACAACUUGGAUGUUUGCGUUCUAAAGGACCCUUAGGCUUCACACUUAAGGUGAUGAUGACACUACUAAUGGUGUGGAACCAUUGACGACAUGCAUUCCGGAUAUCUAUCUCUGGGGUAAUACCUUCAGAUAUAUGGGACGACUUAACAUACGAACAGACGUGGUAUCAUACGUUUGCUAUUGAAUUGCCCAAGAUCUCUAACUAUCCGACUCUGCCUCGAGAUAUUUGUCAGAAUGCUAGUCUUCUAAGGAAUCGCACGUCCUGUGAUGAGAACAUGAGGGCUGUAUUGAAUUAUAUUUAUCGCAUACAUGACGACACUUUCAAAGACAUGUUAGAAGGGGUUACUUUGAUCAGAAAUAUUAUUCUUCAAGGUCAAAUUGUUAGUUCACAGACUAGCUCUAAGAGAGCUUUACUACUUUUUACUGGUGAAUUCUCACAUAAUUUAUUUGGUACCGCCGUGACAGUGAUGUGAACAUAAUACGUCAACAUAUCAAUGUCUUAUCAAAUACAAUGAGAGCGGAAGAAGCAGCUUUUAAUGUGUCCCAGGAUUACAUGGGUUCGUACAUGUCUAAGGCCAAUGACAGAAUGGAUGGUUUGAAGCAAGGUAUAAUUGCAUAAUGAAUUGACUGAACUGAUAAAGGUAGAGGAUGCUAAGAUACGAUGGUUUCAGGCCAUGUAUGCACAUUGGAUACAACUGGUUGCAAAGGAGUUACAUUUUGCUACUAUGGUUGAAAGGAAGAUUAAUCAGUUGAGCACAGGAAUAUAUAAGUUAUUACAAAAUGUACUAUCACCUGAGUUGAUACCUUUCCGACAUUUAAGGCAGACUAUCAAAAUAAGGAGAGCAUUGAAAUGUCACAGUUUUGGAAAUUUAAGUGAUCUCAGACAUACUAGUGUCCUCUUGUAUAAAUGUUGAUGUUAUACUGUAUUCAAGAUGUUACUUUUACUACAUGUUUUAUGCUUUUGUGCUACCUAUAUGCAUUUAUUUAUAAUACAUAUGAAUGGGUACACCUACCAUAUGAGAAAAACAUAUGUUGAAUUUCAUGAGAGAAAAUAUAUCUGUUAUAUGUUACGAGGAUGUUGUAUAUUGUGCAUUGUAUUGCACCUCAGGAGUUGAUAGAUUCCAUGUGCGAUCACUGCCCAAUGAGACAUUUGACAAUAUUCUAUAUAGGUGAUGUCCAGUGACUUUACGAUAAGUUGAUGUUGAAAAAAAAAAAAAAUAAUAUUGUGAUUGUUGAGUCAGGUGAGAUGUUGUUUGUUUACUGAGUAUAGAUGCUGAAGCUUAAUUUCAACAUUUACUUGAGAAAUUAUAAGAACAAACUGUUGUAAUCUUCAGUUAAAGAGGACUUCAUGGAGUGUAAUGCACAAAUUUAAAGUAAUUUCCUAUUUGAUUUAUAAAUGACUGAAUUUUGGACAAUUAACUCUUUUGGACAUCAGAGUCAAAGUUUUUGCUGUCAUACAUGUAGGAAUGAGCAACCUCAUUCUAUAAGAUGAUGGAGAGAAUCAUUUCUUUAUAAACUUCCAGGACAUGUUUGAUUAUUUGAUAUGGAGAACUUUUCCCAUUGGAUCGAGACCAUAAGAGUCAGAGUAAGUUGAAGAUGUUCUAGAACAUACGGACAUGGAACAUGUUGAUGAUACAGAAUAGUAAGAUUAUAUAUUGCAUACAUAGAACUCUGAAACUGAUCAGCAGUUGGUUAUUUGAUGUUGUGAUACUAUUGUGAUUUUUUUUGCCUGAAGAAAAAUGCUCAGAUGUCUAUAUAUAUAUAUAUGAAAUCAAAACGUUGAGAAGAUGUUUUAUUUCACCAAUCUGCAUCUACCGAAAAAGAAAAAAAACACACUGAAAACUUUACAAAGUAUAAUAAUUUGAUUAUGUCUUUAUAAGCCUUCACAUGUCAUUAUUCUCAGAUAGGUACAACCCAAGACAGAUCCUAUCUGAGACAUUACCUUGUAAAAUUUCAUUGUAUUGAUUUUUCUCGUCCUCAGAUGCAUACACACACAAGUUGUUACAUAUUGAUAUUGUACUAUGGUAUUUACAUUUCAUAUUCUAUUAUCAUUGGUCAAUCGCAUGGGACAUGCUCUACAACGGGAAGGGCAUGUAUAACCAGGGUAUUUUGGAAAAAGGGGUUUUUAAUAUUUACUUAAAAUAUAGUUUACUAAAUUAAGCUUUUGGGUAAAAUAUGGAUGCAUAUGAGAGAAGUGACCGUACAGGGUGAGGGCAUAACCCCUAGGGCAAGUGAUGAUUGGUUUUG